rnacentral:rRNA from 1 species
UAGGGAAUCUUCGGCAAUGGGGGGAACCCUGAACGAGCAACGCCGCGUGAGUGAAGAAGGCUUUCGGAUCGUAAAGCUCUGUUGUUAAGGAAGAACGAGCGUGAGAAUGGAAAGUUCAUGCUGUGACGGUACUUAACCAGAAAGGGACGGCUAACUACGUGCCAGCAGCCGCGGUAAUACGUAGGUCCCGAGCGUUGUCCGGAUUUAUUGGGCGUAAAGCGAGCGCAGGCGGUUAGAAAAGUCUGAAGUGAAAGGCAGUGGCUCAACCAUUGUAGGCUUUGGAAACUGUUGAACUUGAGUGCAGAAGGGGAGAGUGGAAUUCAAUGGGUAGCGGUGAAAUGCGUAGAUAUAUGGAGGAACACCGGUGGCGAAAGCGGCUCUCUGGUCUGUAACUGACGCUGAGGCUCGAAAGCGUGGGGAGCGAACAGG